rnacentral:sRNA from 1 species
GGGGCUGAUUUUGGAUUUGACAAAAUAUUCUUAUACUGAUGUGCAUGACGAGGUUCGGUUGGCCUCGUAAAAAAACCGAAAAAAAUAUCUGCAAAAAAUAAACAGGAAUACGCUUUAGCAGCUUAAAAAACUGUUUUAAAGCCCAUUGAAAUCUUAUUUUUUUCUCUUGAAAUAAGGUCUCCGAGAAUGGUCAUAAAAUUUAGAGAUCGCAUAAAAAGAUUGUUUUUAUCUGGUUAUGUUAAAAAAAAAAAAAACUAUAUUUCUUUUAAAAUGUCUUAAAUAAAAAAGAAAGAAAAAACUAUAUAAGACUAAUCAUGUAGUUACAUUGGUAAAAAGUAAUUUUUUGGACGCGGGUUCAAAUCCCGCCAGCUCCAA